UAAGAGUAAUCUUUACUGGCAAUAGUUGUCGCCACGUUAUAAUAAACGCUAAUUUAAAGCAUGCUAUCAUACAUCGCAAAAAAUAGGAAACGAGGUAUCGCAAGGCAAAGCUGAUAACACGCAUGGGAACGUUAGCAUCAUAACCAGAUGAAAAAAUGAUGUGAGAGGGACAAUUGUAAAAGAUACUAUUAAAAUUGCGGUCGCUUCGUCAUGCAACAAUGUCCUCGAUAUUAACGCGGAGAGAUAAGGACAUUCCAGAUUGAAUCGAGUUGAGUACAGAUUUUUAUGUGCAUAUUACCAACGAAUAUAAAAGGUUUGUGACUUGAUGAGUUUCGAUCUUAAAGGCCUGAGAGAUAUAUACAUAAUACUAUAGAUAGUUUAGAUGGAUGUUUUUUAUUUGUAUUAAACUUUCUUCUUUAUGAAAAACAGCUUGAGGACAUUUAUAAUACAAACAUUUACAAAU